AGAAAGAGGAAAUGGAGGGAGGGGUGAGCGCAGGAAUGAUUGGGUACAAAAGAGCCAAGUGUUGAUUGAAUACAGCUGUGGAGGGAGCGAGGGAGAGAAGUAGAUGACAGAGAUAGAGAAAGAGAGAGAGACUGAGGCAGGAUGGUGAGGAGGAGAUGGACUGAGUGUCGGGGGUAGAGGGAUUCAAAGAAAGGUGUGUGCUAGAGACCAGAAAAAGAGAGCAUUCUCAUGGACCAGGCCAGCUGAAACCACGACUAUCCACCAGGAAAUGAAAUGGCGUAUGAGACCACAACAACUAUUGCUGGGAAGUGAGGGAAGCCGCAGCUCUGCAGGGCUUCAGGCUAAGCUGAUUCUACCACCUCAUGAAGUCGAUUGAGCCUGGCAUACAGCUCUCAGUAAGAAGCAUUUUAUAACACCUGAAGUGAUCACAGUAGGAAAAUGCUCCAGAAUGCUAUCAUCUAAAAGACAGCCAGCUGCCAACAUCUGCCAAGCACUUUUUGGCAGGGACCUAGGCAGACAUAAUUCUCAAUAUCUGCUAAUGGUAAAUGGAGGCUUUCAAGAAGGGAAACAGAGGGGAGAGAGACAACACAUCGACCAGAUUAAUUAUGAACUGAGUGGAAAAGAAAGGAUUUACAUAGCAUUUAACAGAUGUCGUCUGGACUUUUGAACCUUUUUUUAUUAUUCGGAUUGCUGCUGCAAAAAAAUAAAAAAUGGUAAGCAGGAAGGAAGAAAGGAGUCAUAUGAGAAAAGCUGAAGAGACUGCUUAAAAUAGAUAAAGAAAACAGACUGCAUGGUCAAAAAAGAGAGGAAAGAUAAAUAGACAGACAGGGGAAGAUGAGAAUCUUAAGUGCACACUUGGUCCUGCAUUGGCUUAAGCAAAGCAGCUACAAGCAAUUGCAGAUGAAAACAAAAUAAAUGAAAUGCUCAAACAAAACAACAAACAGCAAAGUCCACAUUCCUGCGGUUAAUACAACAUGUGAUUUAUGUAAUAAAUAUUGGU